rnacentral:rRNA from 1 species
AAGCGGUAGGGGAGCGUCGUAAUCGGGCUGAAGUCGUACCGUAAGGAGCGGUGGACUGAUUACGAGUGAGAAUGUUGGCAUUAGUAGCGAGAUGUAGGUGAGAAUCCUACAGGCCGAAUAUCUAAGGUUUCCUCAGGAAGGCUCGUCCGCUGAGGGUUAGUCGGGACCUAAGCCGAGGCCGAAAGGCGUAGGCGAUGGACAACAGGUUGAUAUUCCUGUACCACUACCAUCGUUAUUAUCGAGGGUGUGACGGAGAAGGAUAGUGUGUGCUAGCGAUUGGAAAUGCUAGUCUAAGCGUUUAGGCAGUUACGGUAGGCAAAUCCGCUGUAACGUUAAUGCUGAGGCGUGAUGGGGAAGGCCCUUGAGGCUGAAGUACAUGAUUCCAUGCUUCCAAGAAAAGCAUCUAGAGAGAGAAGUAGUGCCCGUACCGCAAACCGACACAGGUAGAUGAGGAGAGAAUCCUAAGGCCGGCGGAAGAAUUGCAGUUAAGGAACUAGGCAAAUUGACCCCGUAAGUUAGCGAGAAGGGGUGCCUGCGAGAGCAGGCCGCAGAGAAUAGGCCCAAGCAACUGUUUAGCAAAAACACAGGUCUCUGCUAAAGCGCAAGCUGAUGUAUAGGGGCUGACGCCUGCCCGGUGCUGGAAGGUUAAGGGGAACACUUAGCGCAAGCGAAGGUGUGAACUUAAGCCCCAGUAAACGGCGGCCGUAACAAUAACGGUCCUAAGGUAGCGAAAUUCCUUGUCAGGUAAGUUCUGACCCGCACGAAUGGCGUAAUGACUUGGGCACUGUCUCAACUGCAAAUCCGGCGAAGUUGUAGUGCGAGUGAAGAUGCUCGCUACCCGCGAUUGGACGGAAAGACCCCGUAGAGCUUUACUGUAGCUUAGCAUUGAAUUCCGGUAUUGUCUGUACAGGAUAGGUGGGAGACUGGGAAACUAGGGCGUCAGCCUUAGUGGAGUCGUCCUUGGGAUACCACCCUGACAGUACUGGGGUUCUAACAGGACGCCAUGAAUCUGGUGACUGGACAUUGUUAGGUGGGCAGUUUGACUGGGGCGGUCGCCUCCUAAAAAGUAACGGAGGCGCCCAAAGGUUCCCUCAGAACGGUCGGAAAUCGUUCGUAGAGUGCAAGGCAGAAGGGAGCCUGACUGCGAGACCUACAAGUCGAGCAGGGACGAAAGUCGGGCUUAGUGAUCCGGUGGUACCCCGUGGGAGGGCCAUCGCUCAACGGAUAAAAGCUACCUCGGGGAUAACAGGCUGAUCUCCCCCAAGAGUCCACAUCGACGGGGAGGUUUGGCACCUCGAUGUCGGCUCGUCGCAUCCUGGGGCUGUAGUAGGUCCCAAGGGUUGGGCUGUUCGCCCAUUAAAGCGGCACGCGAGCUGGGUUCAGAACGUCGUGAGACAGUUCGGUCCCUAUCCGUCGCGGGCGUAGGAAAUUUGAGAGGAGCUGUCCUUAGUACGAGAGGACCGGGAUGGACUGACCUCUGGUGCACCAGUUGUUCUGCCAAGAGCAUGGCUGGGUAGCUAAGUCGGGAAGGGAUAAACGCUGAAAGCAUCUAAGCGUGAAGCCUCCCUCAAGAUGAGAUUUCCCAUAGCAUAAGCUAGUAAGACCCCUUGAAGAACACGAGGUUGAUAGGUCAGAGGUGUAAGUGUGGUAACAUAUUUAGCUGACUGAUACUAAUAGGUCGAGGGCUUGAUC